UGUUUCCUUGACUUGCAAGCUUUAGGUCUCGAAGUCGUUGGUUCUCAGCUUCUUCUCAAUCUCAAGGCAGUUCUCGUUACGGUGCUGCUAUUCUCGGCUGAGGUACGGUGCUUCUUAUCUCACCCUAACUAGGUUUUAUUUCCGUCUCCGAUUGAUCUCAUGGGUUUUUCCGAGUUUACCUGUGCAUAGUGCCUUGAUUAACCUUGAAAUUCAUACCUAAAUUCAGUAUUAAAAUAACGUAAAUUUGGAGAAUCUAAGUUUGAUUUAAGAUAAAGUACUACAUGUAGUCUACAUGGUUUCCUGAAUCUGAUUUAAAUGUUUUUCUCGGGUUGUAGAAAAAAAAAUGUCAAGCUCCGGAUAAUGUAGCUAGCAAUCACUGAGUCACCUCCACAUCCAGAUAUCAGAGUUAUUAUUGACAACGUUGCACAUUCGGUUUCCAAAAAAGGGUGUUGGAGAUGGAGAAGAGAGUGAUUAUGAACCCUCUCAGUUUGAGUUUAUGAAGGAAACUGAUGGCAGGCGUGAUUAUUUCACACAUCUCGUUGUUGCUUAUUAGAGAGUAUUAAUAAUGCCUUCCGAAAAGCUGGGGGAGAGGCCGGGUGCUGCUUGUAUUUAGACCCUUCUUAAGGAUUUUUUCGAUCAACUUCAAUUGGAAAAGCUGGAGGAGGCUAUGAGUCAUUUGCAUGAUUUUGUUGGUGCUGCUGACUAUUUUUCUCUCAUGGAGUUUGAAUUAUAAGGGACCGACAUUGGAAAACUGUGCCUUGUUACCUUGUCAAACACGUCGGUUUUAAGUUUUAACUUUGACAAUCAAUUGUUACUGAGUGAGUUUUUCUAUCAUCUUCAUCGUUUAGAGGAAUUUCAGGAGUUGAUUCAGUAGGAGAGAAUGUAAAAAGCUCUGGAUAUGACUUAUUAACGCUGUGCUCUUAAAAGUUCAAUUUUCUUUUUAGUAUUAUGUGAUACUCAUGUUUCAUGCC
rnacentral:lncRNA from 1 species